rnacentral:rRNA from 1 species
UUGGAGGGCAAGUCUGGUGCCAGCAGCCGCGGUAAUUCCAGCUCCAAUAGCGUAUAUUAAAGUUGUUGCAGUUAAAAAGCUCGUAGUUGAAUUUCGGGAUCAAUACGUCGGUCGUGCUUCGGUACGUACUGGCGUAAUUGAUUUCUCCCUUCUGACGAACCAUGAUGUCAUUAACUUGGUGUCAUGGGAAAUCAGGACUGUUACUUUGAAAAAAUUAGAGUGUUUAAAGCAGGCUCACGCUUGAAUACAUUAGCAUGGAAUAAUGAAAUAGGACGUUCGAUCCUAUUUUGUUGGUUUUUAGGAUCAACGUAAUGAUUAAUAGGGAUAGUUGGGGGCAUUAGUAUUCAAUUGUCAGAGGUGAAAUUCUUGGAUUUAUUGAAGACUAACUACUGCGAAAGCAUUUGCCAAGGAUGUUUUCAUUAAUCAAGAACGAAAGUUAGGGGAUCGAAGACGAUCAGAUACCGUCGUAGUCUUAACCAUAAACUAUGCCGACUAGGGAUCGGAUGAUGUUAAUUUUUAAUGACUCAUUCGGCCCUUAC